AUGACAGAUAAAUCACAGUGGCCGCGAGUGGAGCUGCCAAUUGUCGUGGGGGCACCACUUGCGAAAAGAAAUAAAGGAAGAAAUAGGAAAUUGAGGAUCAAAGGAUGUCUUGAAGGUGGCCACAAGAAGAAAGGUGUCAAUGACGGUUCCAAUGAUGGUAGCACCGCUCCAACCAAUGCUAAGGGCAAGAAAAUGAUUAGAGGCCCAGUGACUUGCAAGAAAUGUGGUGAAAAAGGCCAUAGGCAAGCUAGUUACAAGUGUCCAAGUGUUAUUCUUUCAACCAAAUCUCAGAAGAGGAAGCCUAGAAAGAAUGUUACGAAAGCUAGGCCAGCUGAACCUAGCACCCCACAAAGGCUAACUAGAGAACAAAUACUACAAGACAGCCCAGGCAUGGUCACUAGAAGGUAA
rnacentral:rRNA from 1 species